rnacentral:rRNA from 1 species
UGUGUUAGUGGAAGCGUCUGGAAAGGCGCGCGAUACAGGGUGACAGCCCCGUACACAAAAGCGCAUGUGCUGUGAGCUCGAUGAGUAGGGCGGGACACGUGGUAUCCUGUCUGAAUAUGGGGGGACCAUCCUCCAAGGCUAAAUACUCCUGACUGACCGAUAGUGAACCAGUACCGUGAGGGAAAGGCGAAAAGAACCCCGGCGAGGGGAGUGAAAAAGAACCUGAAACCGUGUACGUACAAGCAGUGGGAGCACCCUUUGGGGUGUGACUGCGUACCUUUUGUAUAAUGGGUCAGCGACUUAUAUUCUGUAGCAAGGUUAACCGAAUAGGGGAGCCGGAGGGAAACCGAGUCUUAAUUGGGCGUUAAGUUGCAGGGUAUAGACCCGAAACCCGGUGAUCUAGCCAUGGGCAGGUUGAAGGUUGGGUAACACUAACUGGAGGACCGAACCGACUAAUGUUGAAAAAUUAGCGGAUGACCUGUGGCUGGGGGUGAAAGGCCAAUCAAACCGGGAGAUAGCUGGUUCUCCCCGAAAGCUAUUUAGGUAGCGCCUCGUGAAUUCAUCUCCGGGGGUAGAGCACUGUUUCGGCUAGGGGGCCAUCCCGGCUUACCAACCCGAUGCAAACUGCGAAUACCGGAGAAUGUUAUCACGGGAGACACACGGCGGGUGCUAACGUCCGUCGUGAAGAGGGAAACAACCCAGACCGCCAGCUAAGGUCCCAAAGUCAUGGUUAAGUGGGAAACGAUGUGGGAAGGCCCAGACAGCCAGGAUGUUGGCUUAGAAGCAGCCAUCAUUUAAAGAAAGCGUAAUAGCUCACUGGUCGAGUCGGCCUGCGCGGAAGAUGUAACGGGGCUAAACCAUGCACCGAAGCUGCGGCAGCGAC